CAAUAUCCAAGUAGAACAUUAACUUAAAGAAAAAUUUAUUUCAAUCAUGAACAAAAACUAUAUUUAUAACCAAAGCUUCAUUACGCUUCUUCUGGUUAGCCUCUACAAGAUACUUCUCGCAGUUUCUUUUCCAGUGUUCAGGCUUAUUGUAGUGGAAGCAAACUCCUUUGCUAUCUGUAUCAGUUUGGUUCUUAUUAUCCAUUAUUUUUGUCCUUUCUAUUUACUUUCUUAGAAUCGUUCUUCUUUUCAGAAGAUCCUUUGGCCCCUACCAGUAAGACAUGGUCUUUCUUGGUUGAAAAGUGACUCAACAUUUUUUAACAUGUUAAGCAAAUCAGCGAGGCUGAUAUCUAGUUUGUUCAUAUGAAAAAUUCACAACAAUUAUAAAGAGUCCGGGAGUGAGUGCAAACUCAAAUCUUGGCACAACUCUCCAUCCAUGACAAAACUCGUUGUCCUAAUUGAUCAAUCCAAUUGAUUAUGUUAAGGACUUUUAUCUGUACUAUAGUGUCAUUGGUCAUUCUAGAUCAGAAGAGCUCCUUAGAUAUCUAAUAUGUAUCAGUCCUACUUUCCUCACCAUUAACUACUUGAUGUGCAAGAAUAUAGUAAGAGCGUCCAUAGUUUCAUGCUGAAGUUGAAGCUCGUUACUCAUGGAUGCGAGCAUGAUACAUUGAGCCAACUGUGCAUCAUCUUGCCACUUUCUAAAAGUAGCAGUCUCUUCCUUAGAGUCUUUGUCUACAACCAUUGUAGGGAUAGCGUAUUAAGGACAUAAGAUAGCUUUUCAGCUAUGAGAACUAUUCUCAAAUUUCUUAACCAAUCCGUUUAAUUCAGUCCGAUUAAUUUAGCAUCUAAUAUGCUACGCAGUGAUAGUAAUUUUAGACAUUGUAAAAUUCUGUAAAUGAAUUUGUAAUUAAUAACAUUUUAGCAUAUAUUCUUUUAUCAAUUACCAAAAUAAUUUAGGUCUUGUUUUAAAUUGGUAUCUCUCACUAUUUUUUUCAAACUAUAUUACCCUCAUUUAUAUAGUUCGGCAAAAUCUAAUUAAAGAUUUGCUAGUGAG
rnacentral:lncRNA from 1 species